UUGUUCCUUUGAUCGAUCGCCAUGUUUGUUUUUAAAUCGCGAGUGAAAACUGUCGUGCCCGUCGUGCCGGAAUACUUUUUAGGUAAACUCGAACAAAAACCAAUUCGAUAUUCCUACCUAGGUACUUGCAAGGUAAUGGGCUUGGCAUGCAAACUACUGCACUUACGCUCUGCUGUGUGUUGUGGCAACAAACAUCCGAGCCUACCGGAAAGUCCCACAGUGCUGUAGUAUCUAUUUCGAGAUCUGAUUACCGGCACGCAAGGCAAAAUAACACGGCUUCAGUUCACGGUACCAUUUCCGAAUCAUCGACAUCGAUUGUAAACAGACGAUUCGUUGAGUUUUUUGGCCCGAAAAGUACACCUCGCUGCUGGUGAGUGGGUCAUCGAUCUUGCUGUUAGUCAUAAAAGGUCGCCGAUUUAAGAGACCUCAAGUCUGGCGUAAACCUCCGUCACUAAGAGCUCCAACGGUCGUCACUUUAUAUCGGCCUGAUCAGACGGAUCGGUCCGCAUCUGAAGUGCUGUCUUCGAUCUUUCCACUUCCACUUCGUUGUCUUCCAGAUGGAACUAAAGUGGUAUCGCCACUAAUCAUAAUCAGAAAACCAGCAGUUCCUCAGCGACGGGUCGUCCGAGCGAAUAUUUGUUGCUGUCAUAUUUGACCGUAUGGGAAACUACUCCAGCAAAGCACAGCUAAAUCCUGGAUAAACUCAAUUUAGGAGUUGUGGGCUACACCUUUGACGACACGGCAUUUUAACUGUCUCCAUGCUGCCCCGGAUCUGAACGGCGUGUUCGAGCAGACAUACUGCCUCUGUAGACACUAUCACGCUAAACAAACCUGACACGACGGCCCUCCGACGAGACAACAGGUUUGCGCAGGCCCGCCUUUAAAACAACCAUUACGAACGACAUAGAAGAUAAUAAUACGACUCGAUGCAAUCGGCAACAACCUAGGCGACGAAUAAAGGAUCACGAUUGGAAGUUUGGAACAUGGAACUGCAAGUCGCUAGGCUACGAUGAAUUACAUCCCCGCAACUUCGAUGUCGUAGCGCUGCAGGAAAUCUGCUGCACAGGACAGAAAGUGUGGAAAAGCGGGCAUCGAGCGGCUACCUUCUACCUAAGGGGCUGUACACUUAUUACUGCUUACGUAAUAUGUGUACGGCCCCUAAGCUGUGACGCCACCAACGAGCUGGAAACCGGCUUCAUAGUGCUGGGCAAUAUGCGCCAACGUGUGAUUGGGUGGCAGCCAAUCAACGCAAGGAUUUGCAAGCUAAGGAUAAUAGUCCGUUUCUUCAACUAUAGCAUCUUCAACGUGCACUGCCCACACGAAGGGAGAUGCACAGCUGGAGACUGUGAAGAGACGGAGCAACUGUACCGCGCUAAUAACGCACGAAAGUUCUAUGAGAAGUUAAAUCGUUCAUCGUGAGGUGAUCCAAAGGUGGCGGCAGCACUACGAAGAGCACCUCAAUGGCGAUGUGGCAGACAACAGUGGUGGUAUGGCAAUGAACCUGGGAGCACGCGCGCAGGACAUGCGACUUCCGGAUACGAAUCUCCAAGUGUGCGGGCAGGUAUGAUACAAUCGAUCGGGAACAGCUAUGGCAGCUAAUGCACGAAAACGGAUUUCCGGAUCCGGGAUAAACUCAAUUUAGAAGUUAUGGGCUACACUUCUGACAAAACGGCAUUUUAACUGUCUCCAUGCUGCCCCGGAUCUGAACGGCGUGUUCGAGCAGACAUACUGUCUCUGUAGACACUAUCUUCAAGAAGUCGUCGAUGGAUCCACCAGGACAAUGUGCAACUUAUGCUUCCCAUAAUCUCCAUGCUUGACGUCCCUCACAGGGUCCGGCAGCGAUUCCAGACUGGCUGCUACUCAUCGCCGUCCUAAAAUGCAGUGUGAAUUUUUAUUGAGAAAAAUAAAAUAAUACAACUUCAACAAUCGAA